GACAGAGGGUGCAAACGUUGUUCGGAAUUACUGGGCGUAAAGCGCGUGCAGGCGGCCCUGCAAGUCGGGUGUGAAAUCCCAUGGCUCAACCAUGGAAGUGCACUCGAAACUGCAGGGCUAGAGUCCUGGAGAGGAAGGUGGAAUGCUUGGUGUAGAGGUGAAAUUCGUAGAUAUCAAGCGGAACACCGGUGGCGAAGGCGGCCUUCUGGACAGUGACUGACGCUGAGACGCGAAAGCGUGGGGAGCAAACAGG
rnacentral:rRNA from 1 species